rnacentral:rRNA from 1 species
AAAGCGGGGGAUCGCAAGACCUCGCGCGAUUGGAGCGGCCGAUGGCAGAUUAGGUAGUUGGUGGGGUAAAGGCUCACCAAGCCGACGAUCUGUAGCUGGUCUGAGAGGACGACCAGCCACACUGGGACUGAGACACGGCCCAGACUCCUACGGGAGGCAGCAGUGGGGAAUUUUGGACAAUGGGCGCAAGCCUGAUCCAGCCAUUCCGCGUGCAGGAUGAAGGCCCCCGGGUCGUAAACUGCUUUUGUACGGAACGAAAAGGCUUCCUCUAAUACAGGGGGCUGAUGACGGUACCGUAAGAAUAAGCACCGGCUAACUACGUGCCAGCAGCCGCGGUAAUACGUAGGGUGCAAGCGUUAAUCGGAAUUACUGGGCGUAAAGCGUGCGCAGGCGGUUAUGUAAGACAGGUGUGAAAUCCCCGGGCUUAACCUGGGAACUGCAUUUGUGACUGCAUAGCUAGAGUACGGUAGAGGGGGAUGGAAUUCCGCGUGUAGCAGUGAAAUGCGUAGAUAUGCGGAGGAACACCGAUGGCGAAGCAAUCCCCUGGACCUGUACUGACGCUCAUGCACGAAAGCGUGGGAGCAAACAGGAUUAGAUACCCUG